GCCUGGCUGGCUCAGUUGGUAGAGCGCGUGACUCUUGAUCUCAGAGUUGUGAGUUCAAGCCCCACAGUGGGUG
rnacentral:tRNA from 1 species